GUCUUUAUUGAAAAGAGGGACGGUUAACACUUUUCUUGACAAGGAUGAAGCACAAAAUAAAUUAUAAACGCUUAAUUUUU